GACGAACGCUGGCGGCGUGCUUAACACAUGCAAGUCGAACGGAAAGGCCCUUCGGGGUACUCGAGUGGCGAACGGGUGAGUAACACGUGGGUGAUCUGCCCUGCACUUUGGGAUAAGCCUGGGAAACUGGGUCUAAUACCGAAUAGGACCACGCGCUUCAUGGUGUGUGGUGGAAAGCUUUUGCGGUGUGGGAUGGGCCCGCGGCCUAUCAGCUUGUUGGUGGGGUAAUGGCCUACCAAGGCGACGACGGGUAGCCGGCCUGAGAGGGUGACCGGCCACACUGGGACUGAGAUACGGCCCAGACUCCUACGGGAGGCAGCAGUGGGGAAUAUUGCACAAUGGGCGCAAGCCUGAUGCAGCGACGCCGCGUGAGGGAUGACGGCCUUCGGGUUGUAAACCUCUUUCAAUAGGGACGAAGCGCAAGUGACGGUACCUAUAGAAGAAGCACCGGCCAACUACGUGCCAGCAGCCGCGGUAAUACGUAGGGUGCGAGCGUUGUCCGGAAUUACUGGGCGUAAAGAGCUCGUAGGUGGUUUGUCGCGUUGUUCGUGAAAACUCACAGCUUAACUGUGGGCGUGCGGGCGAUACGGGCAGACUAGAGUACUGCAGGGGAGACUGGAAUUCCUGGUGUAGCGGUGGAAUGCGCAGAUAUCAGGAGGAACACCGGUGGCGAAGGCGGGUCUCUGGGCAGUAACUGACGCUGAGGAGCGAAAGCGUGGGGAGCGAACAGGAUUAGAUACCCUGGUAGUCCACGCCGUAAACGGUGGGUACUAGGUGUGGGUUCCUUCCUUGGGAUCCGUGCCGUAGCUAACGCAUUAAGUACCCCGCCUGGGGAGUACGGCCGCAAGGCUAAAACUCAAAGGAAUUGACGGGGGCCCGCACAGGCGGCGGAGCAUGUGGAUUAAUUCGAUGCAACGCGAAGAACCUUACCUGGGUUUGACAUGCACAGGACGCCGGCAGAGAUGUCGGUUCCCUUGUGGCCUGUGUGCAGGUGGUGCAUGGCUGUCGUCAGCUCGUGUCGUGAGAUGUUGGGUUAAGUCCCGCAACGAGCGCAACCCUUGUCCUAUGUUGCCAGCGGGUUAUGCCAGGGACUCGUAGGAGACUGCCGGGGUCAACUCGGAGGAAGGUGGGGAUGACGUCAAGUCAUCAUGCCCCUUAUGUCCAGGGCUUCACACAUGCUACAAUGGCCGGUACAAAGGGCUGCGAUGCCGUGAGGUGGAGCGAAUCCUUUCAAAGCCGGUCUCAGUUCGGAUCGGGGUCUGCAACUCGACCCCGUGAAGUCGGAGUCGCUAGUAAUCGCAGAUCAGCAACGCUGCGGUGAAUACGUUCCCGGGCCU
rnacentral:rRNA from 1 species